rnacentral:piRNA from 1 species
UGGUAGUGAACUCAUGGGUCACCUUUU